rnacentral:rRNA from 1 species
CAGUCGCCACGGUAAUACGUAGGGAGCAAGCGUUGUUCGGAUUUACUGGGCGUAAAGGGCGCGUAGGCGGCGCGGUAAGUCACUUGUGAAAUCUCUGAGCUUAACUCAGAACGGCCAAGUGAUACUGCUGUGCUAGAGUGCGGAAGAGGCAACCGGAAUUCUUGGUGUAGCGGUGAAAUGCGUAGAUAUCAAGAGGAACACCUGAGGCGAAGGCGGGUUGCUGGGCCGACACUGACGCUGAUGCGCGAAAGCCAGGGGAGCAAACGGGAUUAGAUACCCCAGUAGUCCCUGUCUCUUAUAC